UUAAAAACACCCCCGAAAGGCGAGUUUGUUCCCCCAGCAGAGCGCGUAGCCUUCCGUGCAACAACAUCGGCGCGGGUGUUUUUCAUAAUCCGGAAAGUUGGAUCGCUCCCGCCAGUUCUCAUGGCUCACGGCGCUCUGAUGUACGUGUGUGCGCACACAAGCAGGCGAGCAAUGAGGAGGAGGAGGAGGACGAGGAGCAGGAGGAAGAGGAGGAGGAGGGGGACGGGCUGAAGGCUGCAGCUCUCCAGUGCAUAUGUGCGUGUGCGGUUGGAUGUGCGGGAAUGCAACUGCGUGGCCAUUUUCAUGUGGCCAGAGGAGGAAAAAACGGCGAAGGGAGCCCAGGAUCUCACUGCAGUUCAUAACAGGCGAUCAGAGGAAGGCUAUUUAGUCUCUUAAUAAAAUGGCGACGACUUGGCUGAAGUGA